CACGUAGGGUGCGAGCGUUGUCCGGAAUUAUUGGGCGUAAAGAGCUCGUAGGCGGUGUGUCGCGUCGGCCGUGAAAACUUGGGGCUUAACUCUGAGCGUGCGGUCGAUACGGGCAUCACUUGAGUUCGGCAGGGGAGACUGGAAUUCCUGGUGUAGCGGUGAAAUGCGCAGAUAUCAGGAGGAACACCGGUGGCGAAGGCGGCCAUCUGGACGGAUACUGACGCCGAGACGCGAAAGCGUGGGGAGCAAACAGG
rnacentral:rRNA from 1 species